GAUGAACGCUAGCGGCAGGCCUAAUACAUGCAAGACGAACGGCAAGCUUUUCAGCAAUGAGAGGCCUAGAGUGUCGUAAGGGUGCGUAACACGUAUGCAAUCUGCCCUGUACAGGAGGAUAGCUCCCCGAAAGGGGAAUUAACACUCCAUAAGAUAUCGUGAGGGCAUCUGAAUGAUAUUAAAACUGAGGUGGUACAGGAUGAGCAUGCGCAUGAUUAGUUAGUUGGCGGGGUAACGGCCCACCAAGACGAUGAUCAUUAGGGGAACUGA
rnacentral:rRNA from 1 species